rnacentral:rRNA from 1 species
CCUUGAAAGAGUGCGUAAUAGCUCACUGGUCAAGUGAUUCCGCGCCGAUAAUGUAGCGGGGCUUAAGUUAUCCGCCGAAGCUGUGGCAACCUGUGUGGUUGGGUAGGGGAGCGUCGUGUCAGUGGUGAAGCUGCCGGGUGACUGUGUGGUGGAGUUGAUGCGAGUGAGAAUGCAGGCAUGAGUAGCGUGUGACGGGUGGGAAUCCCGUCCGCCGAUUAUCCAAGGGUUCCAGGGUCAAGUUUGUCUGCCCUGGGUGAGUCGGGUCCUAAGGCGAGGCCGACAGGCGUAGUCGAUGGGUAACCAGUUGAUAUUCUGGUACCGGCUUGUCACCGUCCGUGUCGAGGUGUGUGAUGCUAAGCAUGUGAGCUUGUCUUGGGAGUGUUUUUGAUGCUUCUGGGGUGGGUGAGUGUGUGAACCGAUCAUGUAGUAGGCAAGCUGCGGAGGGACGCAGUGAGGUAGCUCAUCCCCGGUGAUGGUUGUCCGGGGCUAAGUGUGUGGACUGUCUGGUAGGUAAAUCCGCUGGGCGUGAAGGUUGAGGCAUGAUGGGGAGCCCACGGUUGUGGGUGAGUGAGUGAUCCUGUACUGUCGAGAAAAGCUUCGUGAGCGAGGUGGCGGGUCCGCCCGUACCCUAAACCGACACUGGUGGAUAGGUAGAGUAUACCGAGGCGAUCGAGUGAAUCGUGGUGAAGGAACUCGGCAAAAUGCCCCCGUAACUUUGGGAUAAGGGGGACCUGAGCUGUCGUGCACCCGUGCGGUGUGGUGGCGGUGAGGGGCGCAGAGUCCAGGGGGAAACGACUGUUUACCAAAAACACAGGUCCGUGCGAAGUCGUAAGACGAUGUAUACGGACUGACUCCUGCCCGGUGCUGGAAGGUUAAGGGGAACUGUGAGUGUGAUGCGUAGCGGUGAACUUAAGCCCCAGUAAACGGCGGUGGUAACUAUAACCAUCCUAAGGUAGCGAAAUUCCUUGUCGGGUAAGUUCCGACCUGCACGAAUGGAGUAACGAUUUCCCUACUGUCUCCACCAUGAACUCGGUGAAAUUGCAUUACGAGUAAAGAUGCUCGUUACGCGCAGCAGGACGGAAAGACCCCGGGACCUUUACUAUAGUUUGGUAUUGGUGAUUGGGACGGUUUGUGUAGGAUAGGUGGGAGACGUUGAUGCGGCCACGCUAGUGGUGGUGGAGUCGUUGGUGAAAUACCACUCUGAUUGUUCUGGUUAUCUCACUGUGGACCGUGAUCCGGUUCAAGGACAGUGCCUGAUGGGUAGUUUGACUGGGGCGGUCGCCUCCUAAAGGGUAACGGAGGCGCCCAAAGGUUCCCUCAUCCUGGUUGGUAAUCAGGUGGUGAGUGUAAGUGCACAAGGGGGCUUGACUGUGAGACUGACAGGUCGAGCAGGGACGAAAGUCGGGACUAGUGAUCUGACGGUGGCUUGUGGAUGCGCCGUCACUCAACGGAUAAAAGGUACCCCGGGGAUAACAGGCUGAUCUUGCCCGAGCGCUCAUAGCGACGGCAUGGUUUGGCACCUCGAUGUCGGCUCGUCGCAUCCUGGGGCUGGAGUCGGUCCCAAGGGUUGGGCUGUUCGCCCAUUAAAGCGGCACGCGAGCUGGGUUCAGAACGUCGUGAGACAGUUCGGUCCCUAUCCGCUGCGCGCGGAGGAAUCUUGAGAAGGGCUGUCUUUAGUACGAGAGGACCGAGACGGACUGACCUCUGGUGUGCCAGUUGUUCUGCCAAGAGCAUGGCUGGUUGGCUACGUCGGGUUGUGAUAACCGCUGAAAGCAUCUAAGCGGGAAGCACGCUUCAAGAUAAGGGUUCCCACAGGUGAUCCUGGUAAGGUCCCCGAGAGAUGAUCGGGUUGAUAGGCCAGACGUGGACGCAUCGUAAGGUGUGGAGCUGACUGGUACUAAUAGACCGAGGACUUUCAUUAACA